rnacentral:rRNA from 1 species
UUACGCACUCCUACGGGAGGCAGCAGUGGGGAAUAUUGCACAAUGGGCGCAAGCCUGAUGCAGCCAUGCCGCGUGUAUGAAGAAGGCCUUCGGGUUGUAAAGUACUUUCAGCAGUGAGGAAGGUGGAUAUGUUAAUAGCAUAUUCAUUUGACGUUUAGCUGCAGAAGAAGCACCGGCUAACUCCGUGCCAGCAGCCGCGGUAAUACGGAGGGUGCGAGCGUUAAUCGGAAUUACUGGGCGUAAAGCGCAUGCAGGUGGUUUGUUAAGUCAGAUGUGAAAGCCCGGGGCUCAACCUCGGAAUUGCAUUUGAAACUGGCAAACUAGAGUACUGUAGAGGGGGUAGAAUUUCAGGUGUAGCGGUGAAAUGCGUAGAGAUCUGAAGGAAUACCGGUGGCGAAGGCGGCCCCCUGGACAGAUACUGACACUCAGAUGCGAAAGCGUGGGGAGCAAACAGGAUUAGAUACCCUGGUAG